UUAGGCCUUAAUCGAAGCUAACUGAUUUUCGUAAAUUUGUUGGUCAAUAAAAGGCCCAUAUUGAGUUAACCCCAAACGGUCGCGGUCUAGACGACAUGUCAAGAACGUAUUACCAACGGGGCUUACAUUU